rnacentral:rRNA from 1 species
AAGUAAAAGUCGUAACAAGGUUUCCGUAGGUGAACCUGCGGAAGGAUCAUUAUUGAAAAAAUAAAUCUGAUGAGUUGCUGCUGGCUCUCUAGGGAGCAAUUGUGCACACUUGUCAUCUUUAUAUAUAUCUCCACCUGUGCACCUUUUGUAGACCUGGAAACAGUGUCUAUGUUUCUUCAUUUAUACCCCAAUGUAUGUUUAUAGAAUGUAAUCAAAAUGGGCCCUUUGUGCCUAUAAAAACACUAUACAACUUUCAGCAACGGAUCUCUUGGCUCUCGCAUCGAUGAAGAACGCAGCGAAAUGCGAUAAGUAAUGUGAAUUGCAGAAUUCAGUGAAUCAUCGAAUCUUUGAACGCACCUUGCGCUCCUUGGUAUUCCGAGGAGCAUGCCUGUUUGAGUGUCAUUAAUAUAUCAACCUCUCUUGCUUGCUUUGAGUGUGUUGGAUGUGGGGGGAAUCAUUGCUGGCUUCUCUCGAGAGGUCAGCUCCUCUGAAAUAUAUUAGCGGAACAGAAUCCCAUUCAUUGGUGUGAUAAAUUUAUCUACGCUAUUGAACGUGAGUUCAGCUUCUAACAGUCCAUUGACUUGGACAAAAUUUAUUUAUUAAUGUGACCUCAAAUCAGGUAGGACUACCCGCUGAACUUAAGCAUAUCAAUAAGCGGAGGAAAAGAAACUAACAAGGAUUCCCCUAGUAACUGCGAGUGAAGCGGGAAAAGCUCAAAUUUAAAAUCUGGCAGUCUCUUGGCUGUCCGAGUUGUAAUCUAGAGAAGUGUUUAUCCGCGCUGGACCGUGUACAAGUCUCCUGGAAUGGAGCAUCAUAGAGGGUGAGAAUCCCGUCUUUGACACGGACUGCCAGGGCUUUUGUGAUGCGCUCUCAAAGAGUCGAGUUGUUUGGGAAUGCAGCUCAAAAUGGGUGGUAAAUUCCAUCUAAAGCUAAAUAUUGGCGAGAGACCGAUAGCGAACAAGUACCGUGAGGGAAAGAUGAAAAGAACUUUGGAAAGAGAGUUAAACAGUACGUGAAAUUGCUGAAAGGGAAACGCUUGAAGUCAGUCGCGUUGACCAGGGAUCAACCUUGCUUCUGCUUGGUGUACUUUCUGGUUGACGGGUCAGCAUCAAUUUUGACCAUUGGAAAAAGAUCAGGGGAAUGUGGCAUCUUCGGAUGUGUUAUAGCCCUUGGUUGCAUACAAUGAUUGGGAUUGAGGAACUCAGCACGCCGCAAGGCCGGGUUUUUAAACCACGUACGUGCUUAGGAUGCUGGCAUAAUGGCUUUAAUCGACCCGUCUUGA